GGCGCGGUGGCGAAGUAGCUAACGCUGCGGUCUGCAAAACCGCUAUACAGGGGUGCAAUUCCCCUCCGCGCCU
rnacentral:tRNA from 1 species